CAGGCUUUAGUUCACUAUCAUCAUGGCAGCACGCAUGGUGCUGGAGCAGUAGCUGAGAGUUAUAUCCUCAUCCACGGGACCAGAGGGACACUAGUCCUGGAAUGGAAUUUGGAAGCCUCAAAGUCUACCCCAGCAUGGCCACGCCUCCUAAUCCUUCUAAUCCUAUCAAAGACUUCCACUACCUGGAUAUUUUUGACCCUAGAUACUUUUUCCUUUAAAUUUGAUGGAGCUGUGAUCAUGCCUCUGACCUCUAGCCUUGAAAGAAGACGAGUUAUGCCUCUCAGGAGUGAUGCCUCAGGCACUUUGCAAGUCGGCUGGCAGGAUUAUUUCCCAGGCUGUGAAGUGAUGACCUUCCACCGAGAGUGA
rnacentral:lncRNA from 1 species